rnacentral:rRNA from 1 species
CAUACCUAUUCGAAGGGAUAGGGUCGGUUCGGCCGGGUUUCACACAGGUGUUGCAUGGCUGUCGUCAGCUCGUGUCGUGAGAUGUUGGGUUAAGUCCCGCAACGAGCGCAACCCUCAUCCUUAGUUACCAUCAGGUAAUGCUGGGGACUUUGAGGAAACUGCCAGUGAUAAACUGGAGGAAGGUGGGGAUGAUGUCAAGUCAUCAUGGCCCUUAUGGAGUGGGCUACACACGUGCUACAAUAGUGGCUACAAUGGGCUGCAAAGUCGCGAGGCUAAGCCAAUCCCUUAAAAGCCAUCUCAGUUCGGAUUGUACUCUGCAACUCGAGUGCAUGAAGUUGGAAUCGCUAGUAAUCGUGGAUCAGCACGCCACGGUGAAUACGUUCUCGGGUCUUGUACACACUGCCCGUCACGCCAUGGGAAUUGGUUUCACUCGAAGCU